rnacentral:snRNA from 1 species
AUGGCUUCUCAGCUUUAUGGCUAAGAUGAUGUGUAGUAUCUGUUCUUAUCAGAGUAAUGUCUGAUAGCUUCUCCAAGUGAGGAGUAAGUAUUACUUUUAUUUUUGGAAUGUGGAAGUUAAGUAAGGCUUGCUCUACUUUUUCUCCAGCAUCAACCUGGUAUUGCAGUAUUUGUAGGAAUUGUGCAUUAUUA